rnacentral:rRNA from 1 species
UUAGAUACCCUAUUAUACUAAUAAUAACCUGGAUUAUUGUUAGAUAUUUACUUUAAAUUUAAAGAAUUUGGCGGUGAUUUAGUCUCGUUAGAGGAACCUGUUUUUGAAUCGAUAAACCACGUAAAAUCUCACUCAUUUUUGUGUAUCAGUUUAUAUACCGUCAUUAUCAGAUAAUUUUUAGAGAAAAUAAUUAUUAGGAUUUAAAAUAAAAAUAAACAAAAUUAGAUCAAGGUGUAGCUAAUAAAUGAGUUAAAAUGGGUUACAAUAAAAUUUAUUUAAACGGAGUAUAACACUAUAAAAUGUAGUGCAAGGAAGGAGGAUUUAAUUGUAAUAAGAGUUUAAUAUGCUUAAAAGAUAUAAGCUCUAAAUCAUGUACAUAUCGCCCG